AGAACAAGGUUUCCUUUGCGAUGUUGAUCAGCGAAGGGUUAGUCGGGCCUAAGGUGAUGGCGAAAGCUGAAGCCGAUGGACAUAGGGUUAAUAUUCCCUAACUUUUUAUUUGUGCGAUGGAGUGACGAAGGUUAGUAUGUCUUGCGCAUUAUUGGAUUUGCGUUUGUGUCAUCAGUGUGAUUCUUAGGUAAAUCCGGGAGUCUGGUUUUAAUACCGACCGCAAGUGAAGCAGAAAUGCCUAGGUUCGCCUAGUGCAGAUAAGGCAAAGCAACUUUCCGAGAAAAGCUUCUAAGCAUAACAAAUAAAAAACCGUACCUAAAACCGACACAGGUGUUCGAGUCGAGUAGACUAAGGCGAACGAGUGAUUGCUUCUCAAGGAACUCGGCAAAAAAGCAGCCGUAACUUCGGGAUAAGGCUUGCCUCCACCACUUUGUUUUUAAAGUUAACAAAAUUAAUUCAUUUACUUUGUCGCUACGAAUUUUUUGUCGGUCAAUGUAGUUGGUCUACAUCUUCCCUAAAAAAAUUCUAUGCUCCUCGUAACUAAAUCAAUUUUCUUAAUUUAAAGAAAAUAAAUUGAUGGAGUCCGAAGAAUGAGAAAAAAUUUAACAAUGCUUAAUUGUUAAAUGUAUCGAGAGAUAAGUUUGUCAGAUCUUUGUUUGGACUCUCUCCGCUUUGAAAAUAAAGUGGUGGAGGCCGCAGCGAAAGAUUUCCUGCCAACUGUUUACCAAAAACACAGCUCCAUGCGAACUCGUAAGAGGAUGUAUAUGGGGUGACGCCUGACCAAUGCCAGAAGGUUAAAUACGGGUGGUGAUAUGACUUCGGUUGUAUUGCUGGCUUGUAUAAGCCCUGGUGAAUGUCGGCCGUAACUAUAACGGUCCUAAGGUUCUCUGCUUAUUAAAGAUGAGCAGAGAAGGACUAGGACUGUUAUAGAAAAAAGUAAACAAUUAAUUUAAAUUCAUUACAUGUUUAAGCUACCUGGCACGCAGUAAUGUGUGUUAGUCCAAUCAUGAUAAACGAGAGACCAACGUCAUGGACCCUACUUCGAAAGAAGAGGGUAAAGAUAGAGUCCAACUGAGAGGAAUAGUUGAGCGUAAUUCCUUGUCUGGUAAGUUCAGACGUGCACGAAUGGCGUAAUGAGUGGGAAACUGUCUCGAGAAGCAGCUCGGUGAAAAUACAAUACCGGUGAAGAUGCCGGUUACCUGCAGAUAGACGAAAAGACCCCGUGAGCUUUACUAUAGCUUAAUAUUGAACAUGUUUUGUGUCUGCGUAGCAUAGUUGGGAGGCUUUGAAGUAUAGGUUUCGGCUUAUAUGGAGCCAACAGUGAAAUACCAACCUUACUUGAGGCAUGUUCUAAUCUGUACGGAAAAAACGUACGGAGACAGUAUUUGGCGGGUAGUUUGAGUGGGGCGCUCUCCUCCUAAAAGGUAACGGAGGAGUCUAUUAAGGUCCUCUAGGCGCGAAUGGAAACCGUGCCGAUAGCGUAAUGGCAAAAGAGGGCUUAACUGCAAGACGGACAUGUCGAGCAGGUGCGAAAGCAGAGCAUAGUGAACCGACGACACGCUUUAGAUGCGGUCGAAGAUUAACGGAUAAAAGCUACCACGGGGAUAACAGGCUAGUUCUGCCCAAGAGUUCAUAUCGACGGCAGAGUUCGGCACCUCGAUGUCGGCUCAUCUUAUCCUGGAGGUGGAGAAGCUUCCAAGGGUUUGGCUGUUCGCCAAUUAAAAAGAUACGUGAGCUGGGUUCAAACCGUAGGGGGGAAGGAACAACUGACAAUUAACUUUUGACAAUUGACAAAGAAUUUUUCGCAAAGCGAAAAAUUCUUCAGUCACCUGUCAAUGGUCACCUGUCACAUGUUCAUCCCUCCUUAGUUUGAACCCGAGGCGAUGAGACUAAACUCAUCAAUAAUGACAUUAAUAAUCACGGCGGCUAUAUACAGUGAUGUAUAUAGACAAGUUGACUAAUUUCGGGAAAACCUAAACGAGAAAUCGUAUGGCAAUUCCGAGGGAAACAAUGGAGAUCAUUGUGCCCGUAGAGACUAAACGUCAGCACCCCUUUGUAAAAAUAAGGGUUAUGCUAUAGUCCGAUCCCUCUUGAAAAAGAGGUUUACGCGGUUUGGAGACCAGAGCGUAAUGUAAAACACUAAUGCGUGAGACAGGUUGGUCUCCUAUCUUCUGCAGGCGUUGAAUUUUGAGGGGAUUUGCUCCUAGUACGAGAGGACCGGAGUGAACUGACCUCUGGUGUGGCUGCUGUCCUGCCAAGGGCACCGCAGCGUAGCUAUGUCGGGAAUGGAUAACCUCUGAAAGCAUCUAAGAGGGAAGCCAACCCCAAGAUCAGAAUUCGUUUGAGGCCCGUAAGAGAUGAUUACGUUGAUAGGCUCUAUGUGUAAGACGAGUAAUCGUUUCAGCAGAGGAGUACUAAUACGCCGAUUCUUAUU
rnacentral:rRNA from 1 species